GUUUGAUCCUGGCUCAGGAUGAACGCUAGCGGCAGGCUUAACACACGCAAGUCGAGGGGUAUAGAGAGCUUGCUCUCUAGAGACCGGCGCACGGGUGCGUAACGCGUAUGCAAUCUACCUUUUACAAAGGGAUAGCCCAGAGAAAUUUGGAUUAAUACCUUAUAGUAUUACGACUUGGCAUCAAGAUGUAAUUAAAGAUUUAUCGGUAAAAGAUGAGCAUGCGUCCCAUUAGCUAGUUGGUAAGGUAACGGCUUACCAAGGCUACGAUGGGUAGGGGUCCUGAGAGGGAGAUCCCCCACACUGGUACUGAGACACGGACCAGACUCCUACGGGAGGCAGCAGUGAGGAAUAUUGGGCAAUGGACGCAAGUCUGACCCAGCCAUGCCGCGUGCAGGAAGACGGCCUUAUGGGUUGUAAACUGCUUUUAUCAGGGAAUAAACCCUUGUUUGCGAACAAGGCUGAAGGUACCUGAAGAAUAAGCAUCGGCUAACUCCGUGCCAGCAGCCGCGGUAAUACGGAGGAUGCAAGCNAGUUAUCCGGAUUCAUUGGGUUUAAAGGGUGCGCAGGCGGGCUAAUAAGUCAGGGGUGAAAUACUACGGCUCAACCGUGGAACUGCCUUUGAUACUGUUAGUCUUGAGUUUAAUUGAAGUGGGCGGAAUGUAGCAUGUAGCGGUGAAAUGCAUAGAGAUGCUACAGAACACCGAUAGCGAAGGCAGCUCACUAAGUUACAACUGACGCUCAUGCACGAAAGCGUGGGGAUCAAACAGGAUUAGAUACCCUGGUAGUCCACGCUGUAAACGAUGAUUACUCGAUGUUGGCGAUACACAGUCAGCGUCUGAACGAAAGUAUUAAGUAAUCCACCUGGGGAGUACGUUCGCAAGGAUGAAACUCAAAGGAAUUGACGGGGGCCCGCACAAGCGGAGGAGCAUGUGGUUUAAUUCGAUGAUACGCGAGGAACCUUACCUAGACUUAAAUGUAGAAUGACCGACGGGGAAACCUGUUUUUCAGCAAUGACAAUUUACAAGGUGCUGCAUGGUUGUCGUCAGCUCGUGCCGUGAGGUGUCAGGCUAAGUCCUAUAACGAGCGCAACCCCUAUUCUUAGUUGCCAGCAUGUAAUGAUGGGGACUCUAAGGAAACUGCCUACGCAAGUAGAGAGGAAGGUGGGGAUGACGUCAAAUCAGCACGGCCCUUACGUCUAGGGCUACACACGUGCUACAAUGGUAGGUACAGAGGGCAGCUACACGGUGACGUGAUGCCAAUCUCGAAAGCCUAUCUCAGUUCGGAUCGAAGUCUGCAACCCGACUUCGUGAAGUUGGAUUCGCUAGUAAUCGCAUAUCAGCCAUGAUGCGGUGAAUACGUUCCCGGGCCUUGUACACACCGCCCGUCAAGCCAUGGAAGUUUGGGGUACCUGAAGUCCGUAACCGUGAGGAGCGGCCUAGGGUAAAACAGAUAACUGGGGCUAAGUCGUAACAAGGUAACC
rnacentral:rRNA from 1 species